CCAAAUAAACCUCUUCCCCUUUAACUUGGGGUAUUGGGUAUUUCAUCUCAGCACCGGGAAAUGCAACUAAAAACUCAGAACCAUGCUUGGUCUGGCUGCUGAGCUAUGGUCCUGUGAAUGUUAUAAAACCAGUUUGCUGAGAUUCUUGCAGGGUAAGGUGGGUCAGGGCCUGAAAAGAAAGCUGCUGGCAAGGCUGCCGGGAAGUGACUCUGACCAAAAUGACCUUGGGCAAUUUGCAUGACUUCUCCAUCCUCAGUUUCUCAUCUGUAAAAUGGGACUAAGUUGCAGUAAUACUUCCACAAUAGGGUAGUUAAUGGAUUAAAUGAAAAAGAGCUUUGAAGUGCUUGGAUCUCAGCUUCAGUAAUGUGAGCUAUAUAUGCUUGGAGGCACAGCAAGUGGUGGUGGAGUUAUGAGUGAUGCUUGGGGCAUGCUGAGCUCUGGCAACGAGGGGGGACUGUGGGUGCAGACCCCUCUAGCUGGAGGAGGUUGAAUGAACCGGACAGGAAGGUAGAUCACCUCGUGGAGGAACUUAGAGACGCCUGCAUGGGGCUCAAAGUUUCCAUAAGAAUGAGGCCAGUCCUCCAGGCUCUAGGGUCAGUGACACAGCAAGAACCGAGCCCGGAGGCCUGCUCCUGGGAGGGCGAUCAGGCCUUUUACGCUAGCUGCUGCGAAAUUCCAUCACUGCUCAGCCGGGCAGUUCCCUAAAUGAAGGCAAGCAGAAAACACUGGCAUCUCUUCUUUUACCCCAUCAUCUCUGAGUCUCUGGGGCCGGCAGGGUGAACUCAGUCCUUUUCCUUUGCCCCUGUGCUCAGUCUCCUGCCCUCUGAACAAAAGCUUAUGGAGGCUCACACCGGCUCAGGAGCGGGUAUCUACCGCCCCCUUCCCGAAGACUCAACCCAGAGAGAGCAGCGUCCUCCCUGGAAGAAAGGCUCCUAGGCUGCACACCCAGCGCCUGAAGGCUGGAGCGGGGGUGGGCAGCCCGUCACGGGGCCCGUGUGACGCCGCCACGCUGCAGGCCUGGCGGGUUCUGAGACGGGCUGCUCGCAAACGAGGCACGUGGGCCGGCUAGGAUGAGCCGAUUGUCGCAAAGGGCAGCAAGAGCCCUGGCACAGGAGCUCAAGCAGCUCAAGGGAAACAGCAAGGCCGAGCCGGGUGAGCCCCGCAAACAGCGACCCCGCAAACGUCCCCGCGCACUGCCGACUGCGGCGCAUAGAACGUUUUCCAGUGCUCGGAGGGAGCCGCAGACCUGCGCCGCCCUUCGGUUCUGACCAUCACCCUUCCUGGAAG